rnacentral:rRNA from 1 species
AGAGUUUGAUCAUGGCUCAGGACGAACGCUGGCGGCGUGCCUAAUACAUGCAAGUCGAGCGAAUCAGACGGGAGCUUGCUCCCGGAAGAUUAGCGGCGGACGGGUGAGUAACACGUGGGCAACCUGCCCGUAAGAUUGGGAUAACUCCGGGAAACCGGUGCUAAUACCGAAUAGGUUCUCUUUUCACAUGAAGAGAGAAGGAAAGUUGGCUCUCGAGCUAACACUUACAGAUGGGCCCGCGGCGCAUUAGCUAGUUGGUGAGGUAACGGCUCACCAAGGCGACGAUGCGUAGCCGACCUGAGAGGGUGAUCGGCCACACUGGGACUGAGACACGGCCCAGACUCCUACGGGAGGCAGCAGUAGGGAAUCUUCCGCAAUGGACGAAAGUCUGACGGAGCAACGCCGCGUGAGCGAAGAAGGCCUUCGGGUCGUAAAGCUCUGUUGUCAGGGAAGAACAAGUACCGUUCGAAUAGGGCGGUACCUUGACGGUACCUGACCAGAAAGCCACGGCUAACUACGUGCCAGCAGCCGCGGUAAUACGUAGGUGGCAAGCGUUGUCCGGAAUUAUUGGGCGUAAAGCGCGCGCAGGCGGUCCUUUAAGUCUGAUGUGAAAGCCCACGGCUCAACCGUGGAGGGUCAUUGGAAACUGGGGGACUUGAGUGCAGAAGAGAAGAGUGGAAUUCCACGUGUAGCGGUGAAAUGCGUAGAGAUGUGGAGGAACACCAGUGGCGAAGGCGACUCUUUGGUCUGUAACUGACGCUGAGGCGCGAAAGCGUGGGGAGCAAACAGGAUUAGAUACCCCGGUAGUCC